rnacentral:rRNA from 1 species
ACGAAGGGGGCUAGCGUUGUUCGGAUUUACUGGGCGUAAAGCGCGCGUAGGCGGACCGUUAAGUCGGAGGUGAAAGCCUGGGGCUCAACCCCAGAACUGCCUUUGAUACUGGCGGUCUCGAGUCCGGGAGAGGUGAGUGGAACUGCCAGUGGAGAGGUGAAAUUCGUAGAUAUUGGCAAGAACACCAGUGGCGAAGGCGGCUCACUGGCCCGGUACUGACGCUGAGGUGCGAAAGCGUGGGGAGCAAACAG